ensembl:lncRNA MRPL20-AS1 MRPL20 antisense RNA 1
CGCGGGUGCCGUGCUGAGAGCGCCUGCCUGUGCGCCCCGAGCGGGGCUGGGACUCUUCCAAGAUGCCCACGUUCGCACAGAGACCCCGGAUCGCGGAAGCUCGCGUCUCGAAAGGCCUCCCCUCCAGCGUGGGGAGGCCUAAGUACCUCAAGGUUCAGGCCCACGGAAGGAGUCGGGGGAGCGAGGCCCGGUGAUCUACGUGUGAAGGAGCUUGGACAGGACCUCACAAACGCCAGGGAGACGGCGAGGGGGUUCGUGCGUUUGUAACGUCUUGACAUCGCUGAUCCUCCCGCAGGCGGUCUCACGCCCUGCCCGUCCUGGGUUCACGGUUUUUCAUCACCUGCGGCUGUCCUGCGAUCGACCACAGCUGUGCAGGAGGGGCAGGAGGUAUCUGUUGCUGCAGUUACCGGAACCUUUGCCAGGACUAGUACAGGACCACGGGCUGGUAGCUCAGGGAUGUCUCGUCUGUGAGUUACAGCUGCACGCUCUCCAGGAAAGAAGGAAUUUCCUCUUCUCUGGAAACCCCACCACACAGCUGGUUUCUCAUUGGUGCUGCUUGCCCAUUCCCUGAGCUGUGACUGCCAGAGGAGUGGGAGGUUGGUGGUGCCUCCAGCCCAUCAGGGGCAGGCCCUGGGACCGCCUGGGAACAGGAGGACUAUGGCACAAACCGAGUGAGUGAUGGGAGCAACCCGCAGGGCUCUGCCACAUCCCUGUCUUCCUUCACUGACAUGAAACGCAGAAAAGGCAGCUUUGCCACAACACAGGAGCACGCACCGAAUGUGGCCGCCCAGGGCUCUGUCCUUGACCCUGUUGUCCAGGACUGUUUACCAAGGGCUGACAGGCACUGAGUGCCCCGUGCACCUGGCCAGACACUGCACUCAUGCAGCGGAAAGGACAGUGAACGAGACUUUGUCCCUGGCCUCCAAAGGCUUAGGGCGUAGUGGCUGUCAUGAGGCACAGUGACAAGGGCCAGGAGGGGGACCUCUUAGGGGGCCAUGCAGUGAUGGAAGCCAGAAGGAAUGAAGGCCUGCAGUGAGGAUGGAGUGGUCGGCCUGAAGCCAUCUCUAGCAAGUGGUCAGGACGCUGAUUGUUCUGCGCAGGUUGGAGGUAGGUGGUGAGUCUGAGAAAGGGGCCGGAAAGACUCCCCAGCAACUGCUGGCAAAGGGUGAAGGGCACGUUCCCACAGGAUUCAAGCCAGCUGCCUUUGGAGGGGAGACGGGCACUCAGUUUAGGCGCUCCUACAGCAGGGUCAGCAAGACAAGCAGGUUGCGGCAAGGGUCUGCGCACUGCUGUGUAAAUGUAGGGGCAUCGGGGGGCAGAAAGACCAGGGGAGAAGUGUGCAUCACCCUUGGGGUUAAGGGACAGUUGUCUGCUAGGUGUUGCUUCCUGGAGAUGGCUGAAAAGCCAGUCCAGUCUGCAGGGACCAGGCCACCACCCACCUGAUGUGGGAGCAUUUCCCCCAAUCCCUGCUGGGCUGCUGAAUCUGGGGGACAUAGGGAAGCUGAGGCUGGUGUUCUGAGUAGUGGCAGAGCUGAGCCACAGGGCAUGUCUGAGGUCAGCCCCGAGCAAAAUGGAAUAGGGACUCAGGGUGGGUCAGGUAACUGGAAAGCGGGCACUGUGCACGCAGCCCUUGAGGGGAGCCAGGGUGGGUGGGGAUCCCCCACUGUGUGCAGAAGGCAGCAGCCUUGGAAGCAGGGUGUGCUCCUCGGUGUGGUCGCUCGAUACCAGAAAAUGACUCUAAAAACUGAAGAGUGUUUGAGUUUCAUUCACACAAAACAUGGACAUCAUCUGUGAGGCUCUGUCCCAGAGAGACAGGGCCAUCCCUCAUGUCUGUUAUUGGGUU